rnacentral:misc_RNA from 1 species
AGCAGCCGCGGUAAUUCCAGCUCCAAUAGCGUAUAUUAAAGUUGUUGCAGUUAAAAAGCUCGUAGUUGAAUUUCGGGAUCAAUAUGUUGGUCGUGCCUUGGUACGUACUGGCGUCAUUGGUUUCUACCUUCUGAAGAACCUCGAUGUCAUUAAUUUGGUGUCUUGGGGAAUCAGGACUGUUACUUUGAAAAAAUUAGAGUGUUUAAAGCAAGCUCACGCUUGAAUACAUUAGCAUGGAAUAAUGAAAUAGGACGUUUGAUUCUAUUUUGUUGGUUUCUAGGAUCGACGUAAUGAUUAAUAGGGAUAGUUGGGGGCAUUAGUAUUCAAUUGUCAGAGGUGAAAUUCUUGGAUUUAUUGAAGACUAACUACUGCGAAAGCAUUUGCCAAGGAUGUUUUCAUUAAUCAAGAACGAAAGUUAGGGGAUCGAAGACGAUCAGAUACCGUCGUAGUCUUAACCAUAAACUAUGCCGACUAGGGAUCGGAUGAUGUUAAUUUUUUAAUGACUCAUUCGGCGCCUUAC